rnacentral:sRNA from 1 species
AGAAGACUGUAACUACAGCUUCUAUGAUUACCACAAAGACACUACCUCUCGUCUUGAAAGCAGCAACUGCGACCAUGCCUGCCUCUGUGGUGGGCCAGAGACCUACCAUUGCUAUGGUGACCGCCAUCAACAGUCAGAAGGCUGUGCUCAGCACUGAUGUGCAGAACACACCAGUCAACCUCCAGACGUCUAGUAAGGUCACUGGGCCUGGGGCAGAGGCUGUCCAAAUUGUGGCAAAAAACACAGUCACUCUGGUAAGCCAGCAGCUGCUCCUCAUGUGUGAUCACAUGAGAAGGUUAGGAUAUGCAUUAGUAUAGUAUAUCCCUUCUAGGCUCCUGCUGGAUUUCUCAGUUUCCAUCAUUCUUCUGGCAUACCAAAUUCCCCUUUGGGGCUGACAAGGGAAUAUGGCAUUUCUGCUAUCUGCUCAAAUCACUACAGAAAGCGUUCUGACAACCAAGGACCAAAUUCAGUGCAUUAUCUGAGGUCAAAGUAUGACUUGAUUUUAGGGGGAAGGUCUCCUUCACAGAGACUUACGCACUGUUUCAUUUAUCUCUCCCUCUCCCUUCAUUCUCUGCAGCGUUUUCCUGUGAAACUUGAGUGCUUAAACUCUCUUGUGCUGUAUUACUGCCUUGGUGAAAACUCCCUGAUAAUUCUUUCAGUGUUAAUAUCUCUUUAAAUUUAUUGUACCCAGAAAGUACUGGAGUUAGUUGAGGCACUUUAAAAAUAUUCAAGAAACUCACAAAUUAACCGUGUCAGUGCCCAAGUUUUGUUCAGGAAAAAAAAAAAAAAAAUCCCCUUAAGGAGGAAGUACUUGAACAAGAAUUUUCAUGAGAGUUCUAGGAUCGAGCCAUUUAGAAAACUGAUAUUCUCAGAAGCUUGGGAGAAAUAUAUCUAAAUUUUGAUGUAAAAUUCCCUUAAAAUGGCACCUAGGAGCUCUUGGUGCCUUUUGAAUAAUACCAGUGGUGAGUGAAACUAAAGAGCAAUAAAGUGAAGCUUCACCACUUACCCAGGAAUCCUUAGAGAAGCAACCAGGUCACUCAAGCAGAUACUGAGAGAAAAUUUUCUAUAGGAAUAAAGCCAUUCACUGUUAGCUUAUAUCAGGAAAAAGCCUAUUUGGGUAAGCAGCAAGUUUGAUUUUACUUUGGAUCCAGUCUUGACUUUUAAAAUAUAUUAAUGCAAAAACUCUUGAGUGUCAGAGAAAAUUGUCUAAGAUUUGCUGAGCCUGCUAUGUUCUCCAUUAGGUGUAGGAGGAAACAGAAGUGUGGUUGGUUCAUUUUAUAGGGUAAAGCAUGCAGGUGGGAGAGUUAAAAAGUUUCCUAAUGCAGUGUUAAUUCAGAUGAUUAACUUACGAUGAAAGCUUGUAGAAAAUACUGUCUGAUCCAAAGAAUAGUGAUGCUAAAAAUACUAGCUUUGAUAUUGAAGAGUAAUUGUUCUCUCUGGUUUAUUUAUCUUCCUCAUUUUUUAGCAGGUUCAGGCAACACCUCCUCAGCCCAUCAAAGUACCACAGUUUAUCCCCCCUCCUAGACUCACUCCACGUCCAAACUUUCUUCCACAGGUUCGACCCAAGCCUGUGGCCCAGAAUAACAUUCCUAUUGCCCCAGCACCACCUCCCAUGCUCGCAGCUCCUCAGCUUAUCCAGAGGCCCGUCAUGCUGACCAAGUUCACCCCCACAACCCUUCCCACAUCCCAGAAUUCCAUCCACCCCGUCCGUGUCGUCAAUGGGCAGACUGCAACCAUAGCCAAAACGUUCCCCAUGGCCCAGCUCACCAGCAUUGUGAUAGCUACUCCAGGGACCAGACUCGCUGGACCUCAAACUGUACAGCUUAGCAAGCCAAGUCUUGAAAAACAGACAGUUAAAUCUCACACAGAAACAGAUGAGAAACAAACAGAGAGCCGCACCAUCACCCCACCUGCUGCACCCAAACCAAAACGGGAGGAGAACCCUCAGAAACUUGCCUUCAUGGUGUCUCUAGGGUUGGUAACACAUGACCAUCUAGAAGAAAUCCAAAGCAAGAGGCAAGAGCGAAAAAGAAGAACAACAGCAAAUCCGGUCUACAGCGGAGCAGUCUUUGAGCCAGAGCGUAAGAAGAGUGCAGUCACAUACCUAAACAGCACAAUGCACCCUGGGACUCGGAAGAGAGGUCGUCCUCCAAAAUACAAUGCAGUGCUGGGGUUUGGAGCCCUUACCCCAACAUCCCCCCAAUCCAGUCAUCCUGACUCCCCUGAAAAUGAAAAGACAGAGACCACAUUCACUUUCCCUGCACCUGUUCAGCCUGUGUCCCUGCCCAGCCCCACCUCCACAGACGGUGAUAUUCAUGAGGAUUUUUGCAGCGUUUGCAGAAAAAGUGGCCAGUUACUGAUGUGCGACACGUGUUCCCGUGUAUAUCAUUUGGACUGCUUAGACCCCCCUCUGAAAACAAUUCCCAAGGGCAUGUGGAUCUGUCCCAGAUGUCAGGACCAGAUGCUGAAGAAGGAAGAAGCAAUUCCAUGGCCUGGAACUUUAGCAAUUGUUCAUUCCUAUAUUGCCUACAAAGCAGCAAAAGAAGAAGAGAAACAGAAGUUACUCAAAUGGAGUUCAGAUUUAAAACAAGAACGAGAACAACUAGAGCAAAAGGUGAAACAGCUCAGCAAUUCCAUAAGUGUAAGUAAAACCUCACGCCUUCAGCAGUCGAUACAUAGGUGCAGAGACCUAGGCCUUUCCAUAUACGUAACAGUACGUGUGGGCCCCAGGCUGCUUCGGGUCUUUCUGUUUAUUAACGUGAUUAACUUGGGCAAAUGCAGUUUGCCAUCCAGUUAAGAGUUCAGACCUCAGGUACAGGCGACCAGUUGGUAGGUGGUGCCUUACCCAAGCUUUGUAACAUCCUCCUGGCUUUAAUCAGAGAGGAUUUUCAGUCUUCAGGCUGAAUAAGUAACAGCUACAACAGUGUAGCCAUGGCCUUGCGUAUUCCUGACUGUGUGGGGGGAGCGUAGCGCCUCACCUGACACUGAGCAGACACAGACCAGGUCCCCUCGUGUGAUUCUUCCUAGUCACCUGAGCGAGUGGGCCCAUCCAUACGGCCCUCCCUCGCUCUUUCUUCCACACCAUGCUGAUUGCAUUUCCCGGUUUUCCUGACCAGUGUGAGGAAGCGGGCUUUCUAGAGACAAGUAUUGGAAGUAAGUACUGCCCAGCCCGGCCUGUCCAAGUGGGAAAGAGGGUUGUAUUUGCAGCAGGGGGACAGAGGCUCCUCCCAGGCAAGGAGCCAGUCUUCUUUUCCAUUGAGUAGGUCACCCUUGUUGGAGUGAAGUGACCUCAGCCCUCAUGGAUACCAGGUGGUGCCUUGUACUUGGUGGCAGUUGAACUGUCCUGCUUACCUGCUUUCUCCUCCUCACCAUACCUACCCGUGGCAUGCAGAUUUAACACCUCUUUGAUCUCUUUCUCUGCCUAAAAUAGAAGCCAGCAGGCGUGGGAAGCUGAGGGCAAAAGGGCCAAAGACUCCAAGUCCCUGGCUGAGCAGAAGGUGUACUGGCUGCAGGCCUUUGUCCUUGGGGCUUCGAUCCUCCUAAAUGCUGCUGGCCUGUCCUCUCACUUCCUGCUGCCCUCAGAUGGAAUCCAGAUAGCACUGCGUGUUUUCCACCCUGGAGAGCUCAGUCCAGUCCUGAAGGCUCCCCAGUUAGCAUGACAGAAGCGUAUCAAAACCUGCCUAAACAGGCUGCAGGGCAGCUGUGGGAACUUUUUUUUUUUUUAAACAACCUUUGUUUGGAAGUCUGAUGGCGGCUCUGCCGGUUUGUUUUUAAGCGUUAGUACUCCCGUGUGUUGGUGCCCGCAUGCUCUUUCUCCCUCUGUUGCCUCUGGGACCCCCCCAGCCUACCCACUCCACCCGCCCUGUUCCUUAGGUAGUAGCUGCCCACUCCACUGAGGAGCACAGCAAGGCCCAGGGGCUGCACAGCAGCCAGCAGAGCUUCUUCUCCCUGGGCAGAGAGAAGGCGCUCUGCUCUCAGGGGCUGCCAGGCCUGUUAGAAACAAGGCGGCUCAGUGCCACUGCCCUUGUCAUUUGCUGCAGAAAUGCAUGGAAAUGAAGAACACCAUCCUGGCCCGGCAGAAGGAGAUGCACAGCUCCCUGGAGAAGGUAAAACAGCUGAUUCGCCUCAUCCACGGCAUCGACCUCUCCAAACCUGUAGACUCUGAGGCCACUGUGGGGGCCAUCUCCAACGGCCCGGACUGCACCCCCCCUGCCAAUGCCGCCACCUCCACGCCGGCCCCUUCCCCCUCCUCCCAGAGCUGCACAGUGAACUGUAACCAGGGGGAAGAGACUAAAUAACAGAGCCCCUCUAAGAGAAGCCACGGGAUCCCGGCGGCAAGGAGAGCAGAACACUGAAGACUCUAGAAAAGCAAAGCCGGAUUUCUGGAAAGUGCAGAAUUCUUUUGGUUCUUUGGUUCCAGAGAGAGAGAAGAUGCUUGUGCCAGGUGGCACCAGAGUUUGCCAAUUGAUCCUUCUUAUUCUGUGUGUACAUGCAAAGAUUGGACCAUGUUACAUGAAAUAGUGCCAGCUGGAGGUUCUUUGCCAGCACCAUGCCAAGUGAAAUAAUAUAUUUACUCUCUCUAUUAUACACCAGUGUGUGCCUGCAGCAGCCUCCACAGCCACGAUGGGUUUGUUUCUGUUUUCUUGGGUGGGGAGCAGGGACGGGCGGAGGGAGGAGAGCAGGUUUCAGAUCCUUACUUGCCGAGCCGUUUGUUUAGGUAGAGAAGACAAGUCCAAAGAGUAUGUGGGCUUUCCUGUUUCUAAACUUUCGCUACUAUAAAACCAAAAAAAGGAAUUGAGAUUUAACCAACCCUAGUGCCCAGAAGAGGGAAGGGGAGUGGCUGGAGGGAGCAGGGGGUGGGACAGUGUAUCAAAUAAGCAGUAUUUAAUCACAUCUGGUGGGGGCCUCGUGCAAGGGGAGACCGACACCAAGAACAGCCAGUAGGUUCUUCUCCCCUGCGCUCUGCUCCCUGCGCAGUAACCCCACCACUCCUGAAGCCUGCCCAGUCUCCUUCCUUCCCUGCUUGGUGAAUCGCGCAUCUCCGUGGUUAUCCCGCUGUCUCCUCUCCAAGAACAAGCAGAGCCCGGGCCACUGGCCCUUGCCCAAGGCAGGGAAGAAGGAUGUGUGUGUCCAGGAAGGAAAAAAAGGUGGAUCAGUGAUUUUACUUGAAAACAAGCUCCAUCCCUUUUCUAUAUUUAUAAGAAGAGAAGAUCUUGAGUGAAGCAGCACGCGACCCAGGUGUGUGUGAAUUGAAUGGAGACGUUUCUUUUCUCUUUCUUUAAUUUUUGUUUUUGUUCUUUUUUUCUUUAAGGAAAGUUUUAUUUUACUGUUCAUUUUACUUUCUUGGUAACAAAAACUAAAAUAAGGAAUAGAAAAGCUGUUUUUCAGGCUGACAGUCCAAUUAAGGGUAGCCGAGACCUUGCAUGGUAGAGUAGGAAUCAUAGUGUCAGUGAGGUCCCGUGAGUCUUUGUGAGUCCUUGUGUCAUCGUUCGGGCACUGUUUUUUUAUGCAAGGGCAAAAAUCUUUGUAUCUGGGGAAAAAAACACUUUUUUUUAAAUUAAAAAGGAAAAUAAAAGAUAUUGAGGUCUUCCUAGUGUUACUUAAAUUAAGAUCAAGGUAAGAAACAUUGUAAAAAAAAAUUACAAAAGUGCUAUUUGUUUCCUAAAAACAGUGAUUUCUAUUAAAAAGGUGUCAGAACUGGAGAAAAUGCCGUGUAGUUAUAAUUUUUUAGCACAGACCCUGCUGAUCACGAUGACAUUUUGCUGUGUGUGUGUCUCUAGACUGGUGGGCCAGUCUCCUUGAAGGACAGAGGCGGAGCUCCCCACCCUUCUCUCUCCUCAGAAAAGACCGUGCUCUCUUCUUGGUGCAGGGAUCUUGUCUCCUGUUGUGAAGCCCAAAUGGAAGUGUGGAUGGUAUCAGGGCCCUACCCGUGGUCUUCUCAGAUUCUGCUAGAGCAAAAGGCUGGUGCCUAAAUAAGAUCCCUUCCUUUGGUGCUGCUUUUGGUCUUUCAGCCACCAGCAUUAUGAGUGCCUGGGGGACACCUCCAAGGGAACUGGCCAGCGGAGCUCAGUGGUGCGCACGCACCCUGGCUGUGACAGGAGGGUGCGGGAGUACAGGCUGGCUGCAUCAGCCCUUGGUGCUUAGAAAGAACAGAGGAGGAGUGACAUGUUUUGAGGGUACGUCUCUGAGACAGAGCCCCAGCAUGGCCUUCGCUCUGUCUUGCCUUUGGGGAGAGGUCUGAAGCUCCCGCUCCUUUCUCUGCGUGUUGGCUCCAGGCACCAGAAAUUUACUCCACUCUACCCACCCACAGGCCUCCUGGGUGACCCUGGGCUAGAAUUGCUGCGCUUGCCUCGGCUUUGCCGGUUGUGGCCUCUCCUUCUUGAGAAAACCAGGGUUGUGAAAGACUCAGACCAUUCUCUCAUCUUGCCUUGUCAGAAGUAAAUUGUGUCAGAUGCGUGCUCUCGCUGGAGACCUUUGCCCCUUGCAUGCCCCUGGCUGAUGGGAGGGCGGCGGAGGCUCUGUACCCUGGCCCUGCUGCAGCAUCUCCCCCAAGCCCACUUCAGGCCCUGGGAAUGGCCAGAGUCUAGGAGAGGUAGAAACGAUCCUAUCAGCUUCUCUCCCACCCAAUUAGGCCCAGAGAGACAAAGACAGAUCUGAAAGCAAAUGCAACAGAGAAGAGAUACUUCUUAGAGUAAAAUGUGUCUCAUCUCUAUCAGCCAUCACCAUUCAUCUUCCCAAGGGCCUCAGAAGAAGGAAUUAAGUUUGGCUGAACAGGCCUCAGAGUUAGGCCCUGGCUGCUUGAUUGGCUGAGGGGGAAAGAGUUCUCUUUUCUCAUUCAGAAACCAAGGUGCUGUGUCUAGUCAGGGAGCCUUGGAGAUGCCUGGACUAGUUGGAGGAAUCGUUGGCAGAGGAUCAGAGACCAGCAGCAGGCUGUCUGCCCUGUCUAGAGCUCUUCCCCUCAACUUGUCUGGGCCCAUCUGGGGGUUGCCACACAACACCUAACUUACCUUUUCCUGAAAUAAGUUGGGAAGCCAUCAUCACUAGAGGCCUUUGCUCAGAGAGGAGCUGCCUGAGGAGUCUCGGGUCGGGGGACGGGGCCAGGAAUUGACCAGGGCUUUGCCUGCCGCCCUCAGCAGUGUUGGGUACAUUCUGACCUCGCCUGCAGCUGGGCUGUGGAUUCUUCCUGACAUUCAGAUGUGAGCUGUUUUGGGAGUCAGCUAGUAUGGAGUACAAGAUGCAACCCAGCCCCCAAACCUACAUUCUGCACUCAAAUUCCAAAACACUGCUUUACUGUAAAGAAGAGGCCCCUGGCACUCAAUCUCCCUGUCCUUCACUGUCCCCUCAGACCUGGGCGGGGUGGGGGGGCCUGUGACCACCUGAGACAUACGUUCGUGACACUGCCCCACCCCAGCCACCUCCACUUGCUUCCUCCUCCUUCCCUCCGCUGCUCUUUCCCCAUGGCCCAGAAUUUAGCUGCUCUGACAGCCACUUUUGAGACCAGCUGGCUUUGCAGUCACUUCAGAGAGCUGGAGCGGCUGCCCACUGGGCCCUGACUGGGAGUCCCCUGCCAGCUCCUGAUCAGGCGCUGCACCCUGGUGGCAGUGAUGACUGGGAGUCCCCUGCCAGCUCCUGUCCAGGCACUGCAUCCUGGUGACAGUGAGGCCAUGUUGCUGUCAUCUCCACCUCUGCAUUCUUGCUGCCCGCGGGUCCUUUUUCUUUCAUGGAGCCUGCUGGGUCUUGUCUCACCUGUGCUGAGCUCAUCUGGGGUUUUGAUUUCUUCUUUCCUUAUCAGGCCCUUUGGGGUAAGCCUGCUGGUUGUACCUGACAUAGGGAGGCAGUUAGGGGCAGUCCCUGGUGGGACCGCCCUGGCAGCCUCCAGCUGGCACCAUCGUGUGCCUGGUUUCCCUGCAACACCUGCCUCUCUGUCCCUGCUGCUGCUUGGCUCAGGCCCAACAGGCAGCGUGCAUGGAGGUGGUUGCACACAGCUGUUUCCGUGAGGGUGACCGUAUCUGUAGCACUCUUCCGUCUCCGCAUGCAUGGCUGCCUCUCCAGCCACCUCUGAUACUUCUCUCUUGGGGCCAUCAGAGCCUCCCUUGGGCUGUCACCUCCCAGCUCACACACACUCUUCAGUGGUUUCCUCCCUUCAUUCUCUUAUAGGGCGUGGUCCUUCUUAUUUAUCUAAAGGGCUGAAUUUAGGAGACUUUUUACCCAGGGGCAAAAGGCUCUUAGGAUAAUGAGAUGGAUGGUGGCCCAGGUGCAUUUUCCAGGGCCUGGGUUCUCCAGAUCCCGUGGCUUCUGUUGAGUGGAGGCAACUUUGCUCUGUGUGAACCUCGCCCCUGUCCCUCUGCCGGGUACCCCUGGCAGGAAGCAGGACUCCCAUUCUCACCCUGACUUAGACUGUCCCCUGAGUCAGCUCCUCUCCAAGACAGGAGUGGGCAGCCCUGGGCAGUCUUCUGGCCCCUUGCUAAAGUGAGGGGCCGGAAGCUGGGGCUGCCCUCCAGAAAGCCAGGGUAGGAACUCUGAAAAAUAACUCCUCUAAACGGAAGCAGGGCUCUCCAGUUCCACAAGGCCCUUCCUCCCUGAGGACCCCACCCCCUACCCCUUCCCCAGCAGCCUUUGGACCCUCACCUCCCUCUGGUGUCCGUGGGUCCUCAGCCCAGGGUGAGCUGCAGUCAGGCAGGACGGGACGGGCAGGCCAGAGGUCAGCCAGCUCCUAGCAGAGAAGAACCAGCCAGACCCCAACCCUGUCUCUUGUCCAUGCCCUUUGUGAUUUCAGUCUUGGUAGACUUGUAUUUGGAGUUUUGUGCUUCAAAGUUUUUGUUUUUGUUUGUUUGGUUUUUGUUUUGAGGGGGUGGGGGGAUACAGAGCAGCUGAUCAAUUUGUAUUUAUUUAUUUUAACAUUUUACUAAAUAAAGCCAAAUAAAGCCU